GCCCGGUUAGCUCAAUCGGUAGAGUAAGUUGAAUAUCUUCACACGAUUUCACGAGUCAUUCAACUAACAAUUCAACAGGCGUGAGACUCUUAAUCUCAAGGUUGCGGGUUCGACCCCCGCAUCGGGCU